GGAAGAAGCUCGGACGAGCCCCAAGAUUGUAAUAUCAGCUCCGUAACAUUACCGUUGCACCGUCGCACUGGCUUUUACUAUAAAUCGACCGCUGGACCUGCGAACAGCGAGCAAAAUGUAAACAACGCGUUUGUAUCGUGCGAUCGGUCGCGAGUUUAUGAACGUCGAAUCCUCAAACAAGAUUUCUCAACUGCUAAUAAAUCUUCAUUUGGGAUAACGUGGUGUGAAAUUUCUCACAAUUGGUGCUGAUUUUUUGUCAUCUUGGAACCGCUUGGAGGAUAAAAUGUUAAAGCAGCAGCUUGCGUGAGGAAAGUGCUCUUAGGAUGAACAAAAAAUCAACGCGGUGAAUCGCACAAAGAUCCAGUAAUUG
rnacentral:lncRNA from 1 species